rnacentral:lncRNA from 1 species
UGAACCCGAUUAGGUUGAAUUCUCCAAAUUUAAUGGGUUGAAACCCAAACCGAAACUCGAACAACCUGAACCGAAAUCUGAUUUGCCCACCCCUAAUACACACACAUUCAAGGGUUGAUGGUGGGUUCUAGUUGUCAAAUGGAGAGAAAAUCUUGUGGCCACUGUAGACAAUCCAUUUAACUAGUGAGAAUAUAUAACAUAUGUACUUUUAUCAAGAUAUAACUAUUUAUCAUUUCUUUAGUUGUUUUUUUUCUCAUAGACACCUCUCUCUUAAAUCAUAGUUGCUUUUGGUCAUUUUCGCUUGUAGACCUAGCCUAAGAU